rnacentral:rRNA from 1 species
AGUGAACGCUGGCGGUAGGCCUAACACAUGCAAGUCGAACGGCAGCACAGUAAGAGCUUGCUCUUACGGGUGGCGAGUGGCGGACGGGUGAGGAAUACAUCGGAAUCUACUUUUUCGUGGGGGAUAACGUAGGGAAACUUACGCUAAUACCGCAUACGACCUACGGGUGAAAGCAGGGGAUCUUCGGACCUUGCGCGAUUGAAUGAGCCGAUGUCGGAUUAGCUAGUUGGCGGGGUAAAGGCCCACCAAGGCGACGAUCCGUAGCUGGUCUGAGAGGAUGACCGCCACACUGGAACUUGGACCACGUCCCGACUCCUUCGGGAGGCCACCGUGGGGAAUAUUGGACCAUGGGCGCAAGCCUGAUCCAGCCAUACCGCGUGGGUGAAGAAGGCCUUCGGGUUUUAAAGCCCUUUUGUUGGGAAAGAAAAGCAGCAGGUUAAUACCCCGCUGUUCUGACGGUACCCAAAGAAUAAGCACCGGCUAACUUCGUG